CGUAGGGAGCAAGCGUUGUUCGGAUUUACUGGGCGUAAAGGGCGCGUAGGCGGCAAUUCAAGUCACUUGUGAAAUCUCCGGGCUUAACUCGGAACGGUCAAGUGAUACUGCUUUGCUAGAGUGCGGAAGGGGCAAUCGGAAUUCUCGGUGUAGCGGUGAAAUGCGUAGAUAUCGAGAGGAACACCUGAGGUGAAGACGGGUUGCUGGGCCGACACUGACGCUGACAGCGCGAAAGCCAGGGGAGCAAACGGGAUUAGAUACCCCGGUAGUCCUGGCCCUAAACGAUGAAUACUUGGUGUCUGGAGUUAUUAGUGCUCCGGGUGCCGUCGCUAACAUUUUUAGUAUUCCGCCUGGGGAGUACGCUCGCAAGAGUG
rnacentral:rRNA from 1 species